UACGUAGGGUGCAAGCGUUGUCCGGAAUUAUUGGGCGUAAAGAGCUCGUAGGCGGUCUGUUGCGUCGGCUGUGAAAACCCGGGGCUCAACCCCGGGCCUGCAGCCGAUACGGGCAGACUAGAGUUCGGCAGGGGAGACUGGAAUUCCUGGUGUAGCGGUGAAAUGCGCAGAUAUCAGGAGGAACACCGGUGGCGAAGGCGGAUCUCUGGGCCGUAACUGACGCUGAGGAGCGAAAGCAUGGGGAGCGAACAGG
rnacentral:rRNA from 1 species